rnacentral:rRNA from 1 species
UCUAUUAUAAGAAUUGGAAAAUACGAACAACUGUUUAAACACCAAAGAAUUUGGCGGUGUCUUACCCUAUUAGGGGAACCUGUCCUAUAACUCGAUAAUCCACGUAUAAAUUACCUAACUUAGAAACUCAGUUAGUGUACUGCCGUCUUAAGUAUACCUUUAUGAGAGUACACUACCAAUUCUUUAUUAAUACUACGUCAGGUCAAAGUGCUGCUUAUAGUUAGGAUGAGAUGGGUUACAACCCUUAUAUGGAUUACGGAAUAAAAUAUAAAUAUAUUUUAUAAAGGUGGACUUAAUAGUAAUUAUUUAUAAUAUAAUGAAAAAUACAAUAAGACAAGU